rnacentral:lncRNA from 1 species
UCUGCCACAGGUUGCUUUUGUCCUCUGAUCUGCUGUUUGGUCUUCAUCUAUUACUCUGUUGGUUCAUCAUCUGCUCGGUUGGAGGUUGUUUUUGGUCCUGCCAUUUGUUCUUGUUAGAGCUCACUAAAAUAUAACUUGAAGGUCCUCUGCAGUGCUGGUUUUUACUAAUUUUUGCUUUAAUCUAGAACAAUAGGCAGUAAUUCCACAUUUGUACUUGGCGUCCCGUGCUUUCUUGGAAUAAAUAUGUCCUGUUUUUAUUAGCUAUGAAGAUCAUUCUACCUUUCCGUCAGUGUGCACCUCCUUUGAUUCUGCAUCCUGUUAAUUUUGUAAAAAAUUCUGUUCCAUGUUUGCUUACAGUACAAGACAUACUUUCCUAACUUUUUUGUGUGAUAUAUCUGAAUGCUUUUGUAAUGCUAAUUUACUGUGUUGUUAAUCUGCAGCAAGGUGUUCUAUUUUCGAUUUCCGUUCUGACCGUUGGAUUCCUAUUCUUAUUUUUGUCUUCACUACUAGAGUUGAUUGAUGCGCCCCGUCGAAGUCUCAUUUCCAGGCGGGACACAACAUAGAACCGUAGCACCCCUAUGCUUGGGAAGCUCGACAUUUAUACAUUCCCCAUUGAUUGAGCAGGUCAGCACACCUACCAUCUCUAGCACCCCUGCUUCCGAAAAUAUAGGCAAAAGAAUGAAGCUGCGAUUAAAAUUUUAGACCUUCCUGUAAAUAGACAGUCCAAUAUUUCAUACUGAGAAUAUAUUGAUGUUAUGAUCACAUACAUUACUAUAAAUAGUCUAAGCUUUCUUAUGAAAAAUAGUUUAGACAAUCCAAGCUUUCUUACUAAAAAUCUUUGCAGUUAAAUUUGAAAUGCUUAUAUGUUGUAUCACCUCUUGGAAUUCUUUUCUGUAAAACAUUACCCUUUGAUUUAGUGAUUUGUGUUCAUUACUGGACUUUGUAUUACUUGCGCAUUUGUAUAGUACAAAUUCUAUUUAGCAUUCAUGUUUACCCUUUGAUUCAAUGAUAUAAGAAAGAUGCUCUCAAACCAGAUCUUAGUAGUAAGAUGCAUGGAAGAGGAAAUCUAAGACUAACCUAAACAAAAACUGCAUGCAGUGUAUGACGACUGCGACUUUCCAAGAUUGGAGUCUCUUCCAGAAUUUCAAUUGUAAAAGCUCAUGCUUAAGAAAUGAGUAGUAGGGUAUAUUUUUCGUGUAGAGCUUAUUCGUGAAGCAACUAUUAUUGGGUAUUGUAAGAUGAUAGGGAAGGUUUCUGCUUUGCCAUUGACAGCCCACCGAACACACCCACCGCGAGGAGUUGCUUAGACGAUGAGGUCAUUUACGAUACCGAUGGCACAUGCUACAAUUAAUGACACUACCUGAUGUGAAUGACUUUAUAUCUUAGUUACCAUAAGCUGAGUGGCCAAAGCUAUCUAUACAAUGCAUCUCUGCCUAUGUAGCUUUGAAGAGAUCUCUUGCCUUUCUUUUGGCCUAUAAAGCGACCAGGCUAUGUAAUAUGCUAUGUAUGAACAUCAUAUCCAAAAGUCAAUUUUCUUAUGCUUCAAGGAUUCGGUCACUAAAUAUUCUUAUUUGCAUGGUUUGAAA